AUUGAACGCUGGCGGCAUGCUUUACACAUGCAAGUCGAACGGUAACAGGUUAAGCUGACGAGUGGCGAACGGGUGAGUAAUGCAUCGGAACGUGCCCGAACGUGGGGGAUAACGCAGCGAAAGCUGCGCUAAUACCGCAUACGAUCUGAGGAUGAAAUCGGGGGACCGUAAGGCCUCGCGCGAACGGAUCGGCCGAUGUCAGAUUAGGUAGUUGGUGGGGUAAAGGCUCACCAAGCCAACGAUCUGUAGCUGGUCUGAGAGGACGACCAGCCACACUGGGACUGAGACACGGCCCAGACUCCUACGGGAGGCAGCAGUGGGGAAUUUUGGACAAUGGGCGAAAGCCUGAUCCAGCAAUGCCGCGUGCAGGAAGAAGGCCUUCGGGUUGUAAACUGCUUUUGUACGGAGCGAAAAGGCUCUCUCUAAUACAGGGGGCUCAUGACGGUACCGUAAGAAUAAGCACCGGCUAACUACGUGCCAGCAGCCGCCGUAA
rnacentral:rRNA from 1 species